UUCAUCGUAUCCUCAUCAGGGAGAGCUACCCAGCCCCAAAAAGGCUCCCGUCUGGAGCAAGGCCCAGAGGGGAAUGCUCGUCGGCGAACUCCCGGUGGCCGGGUUUGACAACGGAGCCCGCCGGGCACAGCACAACAAGCGACGUGCCUCCAUCCUAUGAGCUCACCACUCGUGGGAUGAACCACUGGGCUCGGGUGAGCUGCCACACGGGUGGCCGUGAAGGCCAGGGGCCUCGAAGGACCGGACAAGGGGCGGCAGAACCUGGGCCUGGGGACGUGCAACUUCUUUCACCGUAAUGAAAGGAACGUGGUUGCUCUGUCUCACUUGACGUUGAUGGAAAAUGAGGCCUGGUGAAAAGGUUUUAACAAUCUGCAAAGCAAGACCAUGAAGACAUAUGGGUGCUGAGAAGUUUUACAGAUGAAAUCGAUGAGUAAGCGGACACACCAGUUUGGGAUUGAUUCAGAAGUCUGUCGCAGUAUAUUGUUUGCAUUAAAAAAACACAUUUGUUAUGAAACAUGUUUAAUAAGAGGUAU